UUAUGAGAUCUUCGGUCCUGAAAACAAGGACCUGUUCACCAUUUUUGAGGGCCUAAUAAGUCGCAAUAUUCGCUAGUCUCAUUACCCAUCGUUACUAGUGAUUCAAGUUUUACCGGUAUAUUGUUAUUACGAUAUUCAUCACUGUUUGUAUUUGAAGUCUGUGGUCUGUUACGGAUUCUUGGUAUAUAGUAGUUCUAUGGUUCAUCUUUUCAUGCUUAUGUCCAUGUAGAAUGGGUUUGUCUGGAAGCUACAAUUUAUAUUCCAAUACAAAUGGAAGCUAAAAUUGUACGUACCAACUUGCAUGUUUCUACAUUAUUUAUUAUUUUUCUUCUUUU
rnacentral:lncRNA from 7 species